AUUGAACGCUGGCGGCAUGCCUUACACAUGCAAGUCGAACGGCAGCACGGGAGCAAUCCUGGUGGCGAGUGGCGAACGGGUGAGUAAAGUAUCGGAACGUGCCCAGUCGUGGGGGAUAACGCAGCGAAAGUUACGCUAAUACCGCAUACGAUCUAUGGAUGAAAGCGGGGGAUCGCAAGACCUCGCGCGAUUGGAGCGGCCGAUAUCAGAUUAGGUAGUUGGUGGGGUAAAGGCUCACCAAGCCGACGAUCUGUAGCUGGUCUGAGAGGACGAGCAGCCACACUGGGACGGAGACCAGGUCCAGACUCCUACGGGAGGCAGCAGUGGGGAAUUUUGGACAAUGGACGCAAGUCUGAUCCAGCCAUUCCGCGUGCAGGAUGAAGGCCCUCGGGUUGUAAACUGCUUUUGUACGGAACGAAAAGGUUUCCAUUAAUACUGGGAGCUCAUGACGGUACCGUAAGAAUAAGCACCGGCUAACUACGUGCCAGCCGCCGCCGUAA
rnacentral:rRNA from 1 species